rnacentral:rRNA from 1 species
AACCUGGUUGAUCCUGCCAGUAGUCAUAUGCUUGUCUCGAAGACUAAGCCAUGCAUGUCUAAGUAUAAGUAUUAUACAGCGAAACUGCGAAUGGCUCAUUAAAACAGUUAUAAUUUAUUUGAUAAUCGAAUUUACAUGGAUAACCGUGGUAAUUCUAGAGCUAAUACAUGCUGGUAGGCCCGACUUUUUGGAAGGGCGGUAUUUAUUAGAUAACAAACCAAUAUUCCUCUGGUCUAUUGUGGUGAAUCAUAAUAACUGAUCGAAUCGCAAGGUUUUUAACCGCGAUAAGUCAUUCAAGUUUCUGCCCCAUCAGCUUUCGAUGGUAGUGUAUUGGACUACCAUGGCUUUUACGGGUAAACGGAGGAUUAGGGUUCGAUUCCGGAGAGGGAGCCUGA